UCGGACAUGGUGUAGGGUGCAUGGCCUCCCAACAUGUGGUGUAGAAGGAGAUCGUUGGAGGCAGACCGGGGUUCGACUCCCCGUGUCCGAA